rnacentral:rRNA from 1 species
AGGGGCAGCAUGGUCUUAGCUUGCUAAGGCUGAUGGCGACCGGCGCACGGGUGAGUAACACGUAUCCAACCUGCCGUCUACUCUUGGCCAGCCUUCUGAAAGGAAGAUUAAUCCAGGAUGGCAUCAUGAGUUCACAUGUCCGCAUGAUUAAAGGUAUUUUCCGGUAGACGAUGGGGAUGCGUUCCAUUAGAUAGUAGGCGGGGUAACGGCCCACCUAGUCAACGAUGGAUAGGGGUUCUGAGAGGAAGGUCCCCCACAUUGGAACUGAGACACGGUCCAAACUCCUACGGGAGGCAGCAGUGAGGAAUAUUGGUCAAUGGGCGAUGGCCUGAACCAGCCAAGUAGCGUGAAGGAUGACUGCCCUAUGGGUUGUAAACUUCUUUUAUAAAGGAAUAAAGUCGGGUAUGCAUACCCGUUUGCAUGUACUUUAUGAAUAAGGAUCGGCUAACUCCGUGCCAGCAGCCGCGGUAAUACGGAGGAUCCGAGCGUUAUCCGGAUUUAUUGGGUUUAAAGGGAGCGUAGAUGGAUGUUUAAGUCAGUUGUGAAAGUUUGCGGCUCAACCGUAAAAUUGCAGUUGAUACUGGAUGUCUUGAGUGCAGUUGAGGCAGGCGGAAUUCGUGGUGUAGCGGUGAAAUGCUUAGAUAUCACGAAGAACUCCGAUUGCGAAGGCAGCCUG